rnacentral:rRNA from 1 species
AAACCAGCACCUCAAGUGGUCAGGAUGAUUAUUGGGCCUAAAGCAUCCGUAGCCUGCUUUGUCAGUUUUCGGUUAAAUCCAUACGCUCAACGUAUGGGCUGCCGGAAAUACUGCAAAGCUAGGGAGUGCGAGAGGUAGACGGUACUCGGGAGGAAGGGGUAAAAUCCUUUGAUCUCUCGAUGACCACCUGUGGCGAAGGCGGUCUACCAGAACACGUCCGACGGUGAGGGAUGAAAGCUGGGGGAGCAAACCGAAUUAGAAACCCGAGUAGUCC